AUAUCAAUAAAGUAUACUAAACGGACAAAUGUUAAAAAAAUAAAAAAAUUUAGAUUGCUUGCGAAGUUAUUCAAAUUAGCUGGGACUGCGUUUUUAUCGAGAUAUGUGUUUCUUGGUCUGUGAUGUACAAAGUAAGAUUGUAUGGAGUAAACAGUGAUAAGGACAGCAUUUUUGCAUAUGGAUUAUCUAAAAGUGGUUCUGAUUGGAGAACUUUUCAUUUCUUGAAUGCAUAUAUUGGUAAAAUAAUAGUAACAUUCUUGAGAGCUACAUUUCUGCUUCUAAUGUAAUAGACUUUUUAUACAUUCUGCACAUUGCACAACAAAUUUUGGAAAAAGUCAAGUUUGCACCGAUUACAUGGACUCAUGACAACCGUGGUAUUUUUUAUGGACAGUAUCAAAAUCAGUAAGGAGGAACUGACAUACAGAAUUUUUAUGUAGAAUAAUUACAGUAACGACGGAAUUUAUUCAUUGGGAGACUAUCGAUGAUGUGACAGUUAGUUCGACAUAUGUUGUCUCAUGGAUGAGCAAGUGUCAAAUGUUGGCUUCUAUCUGGAAAAUUAAUAAUGAUGAAUUGAGAAUACAUCAAGCUUGUUAGGUGUACACAAAUGGUUUCGAUCGCUUGGCAAAAGAGAACGUUUGAAAUAGUCUAUACAAAUGCCAACACUGUGGAAUUAAUUCGACGAGUAUUCAGUGCAUUUACCUAAAACUCAC